UGCAUGCACCGUUGAGGAAGAAAAACCAAAUGGCUGAGACAUCGAAUGGUUCCUUUGAUACCGAUGCAAACGAUGUUGACCCUCAAUAUUCCGUAGUUGACAAGAAGAAAAUCAUAGGUAUGGAGACAAAUGACUGGAAUCGAACUGUGCCACAAGCACCAGCAUGUUUCGACUCGUUCGUUCCACUAUACAGCAAAGUAAACAAGAAAACCAAGAAAGUGGAUCAGUGAAGAAAACUACCCACGAUGAUCACCUUUACAAACAGCGGUGUAAGAAGAAUCACAGUUAGUUUACAUGCACUGAAAUGCCAUUCUUUGUUUAAUUCAUAAUGUUUUAUAUAUUAAUGAACUUGGUUUCUAAAACACAUGUUGUGCAAACAAAAGUUAUAACUGUGUUGAGUUGUGUGUACUCUUUUGAUUGAAACAUGAUUGUGAAAUAUUCAAAUACGCGCUGAUACGAUCACAAUUUAAACGAUUGUUUUUUUUUCAUGAUAACCAUCUGCAUUGUUUUCAAAAAUGACUUACUCUAUGUAAAUUGAUAUGUCAUGUAAGUAGCUCCGUGAACAAUACUUCCCCCAAUGAUAACCCUUACUAACAGAGGUGUAAGAAGAUUAACAGCUAGUUUGCACGCACUGAAAUGACAUUCUUUGUUUAAUUCAUAGUGUUAUAUAUUUCUGAGCUUUGUUUUUAAUCCAAAUACCAAAAGUUGUAUGUAAAACCUUCACAUAUUACGUUAAAAUUUUAAUUUCCUCGAUUGAUACGUGUGUUUUAUCAGUAGCUGCCACGAUACUUAACAUUCAGAUUUUAAGAAGACACCUUUUGUGCAAACGGAAAUUAUAACUGUGUUGAGUUAUGUGUACUCUUUCUAGUGUAAAUUGCUUGUGAAUGCAUUUAGAGUACAUGCUUCACACAGAUUUAUGGGUUCACACAUAUUGUUCUAAAGUUUGAACAUAUGUAAUAUAUAUAUUGAAAAGUUAAUUUGUUUUCACUUGUAUAACUAUCAAUGAUUGACUAUUGCUGUUAUUAUUGUUUUCAUCCGGGAUUAUUUAAGAACAUACAUAGUUGCAAGUACAAAAGUAAUUAUAUAAGACACGUGUGUUAUUUGACAAAAGUUAUAAUGUAAAUAUAUUAAAUGUGUUUGUGCAUCUUCCGUCAAAAUGCCAUUUGAAGGCGAACACUAUCAUACAAAACUUGGUUCUGGUCACUAGUGUUUGUUGGUGUUUGCGUUUA